rnacentral:lncRNA from 1 species
AGAGGAUGAUCUGCUACUAUUGUUGUCAGUAAUUUUUUACUUGAAGUGUCAUAGAGAUUAAUUCUUUUAUCCAAACCUACAGUUACAAGGAGCAACUCAUUUACUGGAGAAAAGCAGAUUUCUGAAGCUGGUGCUUUAUGGGUGUUCUCAAAAUUGCGAUACGGGUUCUGAGUAUUUACAUCCCACAGAGUUACAUUUCCACUGUCAGAAACACUGCCCAACAAGGACUUCUUAAAGGACGAGUAUUUCAAAUGUCGAAUAGGCUGUAAAACAAACACAAAUUGUAAGACCACCAUUAGACGUCACUGAAUUACUUUAAGCACGCACAUUAGAAAUGCAGACGUUAAGCUUACCCUACAAA